GAAGACCCCCAGUGUGUGACUGACACCAGCCAAUAGGCUUUUUGCAGAAUGGAAUAAAAAGGGCAAGAAAAAUGCAGUCUCCCUUCAAUGUCCUUGGAGGAGCCCAUCUUUUUUGUUCGAACUCACGGCCUUGCGCUUGCCAGGCACAUGCUUAUACUGCUGAACUAAAUCCCCAGCCCUGGCGAGCCCUUCUUUACCACCACUUUGUUAUGUCCAUCACCAGGCUUCCGAUGUAGACUCCUCACGCUCCGAUGGGACCCUACAGUGAGCUCCAAGUCUUCUGCCUUUGACUGGAUUAUUUUGGCCAGCACAGCUGUGCUAUAUCCUUCCACACUUGACUCUGAAGGUACCAGGUGUCUCCGCAGCCCAGCAGAAGUUUGCUCACUGGUUCAGAGACUUCAAGAUCACGUUCAUGGGAGAUGCAGAGACUGACGGUGAGACGCCUCCUCGCACGAAUUUUCAAAUUGUUUGGAGAAUCUAGAAAAACAGAGAGAAAUUAUGGAGCCCUAUUGCUGCCAGCCGAGGCAGACAGAGACCACUGUAAGCCACGCCCUCAGCACAGAUGCAUCCAGUGACUCAGCCCUGCUACUGACAGCAACCACUGUGCCCUGUGCUUUCCCAGGCAUCAUCCUUGGGCAGCCACUGCCUCCUGUCUGCUCUCAAGCCUUGUCCUUGGCAGGACACCCCCUUUCCCUGAGCUCUCCUCCUCAUGACCCCGGUUCAGACCUUGCAACGUGUGUGAGAGGAACCGUCUGGUCCAAGUGCACGACUAGCCCUCUCAGGGUUGUUUUGAAAUAAA